rnacentral:rRNA from 1 species
CCUACGGGAGGCAGCAGUGGGGAAUAUUGGGCAAUGGGCGAAAGCCUGACCCAGCAACGCCGCGUGAAGGAAGAAGGCUUUCGGGUUGUAAACUUCUUUUGACAGGGAAGAGCAGAAGACGGUACCUGUCGAAUAAGCCACGGCUUACUACGUGCCAGCAGCCGCGGUAAUACGUAGGUGGCCAGCGUUGUACGGAUUUACUGGGUGGAAAGGGCGUGUAGCCGGGCUGGCAAGUCAGAUGUGAAAUCCGGGGGCUCAACCCCCGAACUGCAUUUGAAACUGUUGGUCUUGAGUAUCGGAGAGGCAGGCGGAAUUCCUAGUGUAGCGGUGAAAUGCGUAGAUAUUAGGAGGAACACCAGUGGCGAAGGCGGCCUGCUGGACGACAACUGACGGUGAGGCGCGAAAGCGUGGGGAGCAAACAGGAUUAGAUACCCGUGUAGUC